GACGAAACGUGCGAACGUUGUUCGGAAUCACUGGGCUUAAAGGGUGCGUAGGCGGGUUGUCCAGUCUGGGGUGAAAUCCCACUGCUCAACCGUGGAAUUGCCUCAGAUACUGACGACCUCGAGGGAGGGAGGGGCGAGCGGAACUGUGGGUGGAGCGGUGAAAUGCGUUGAUAUCCACAGGAACUCCGGUGGCGAAGGCGGCUCGCUGGACCUCUUCUGACGCUGAGGCACGAAAGCUAGGGGAGCAAACGGG
rnacentral:rRNA from 1 species